CCGGCAUCCAGCGCUCGGUCACCAUCUGCACGGACCGGCCGCCGGCGCCGGCCCAGCUCUACUCCAGCUGCGUCAAGUCGCACUCCAACUCGUCGCUCAGCUCCACCACUUCGUCGUCGGGACACAGCUGGGCGGACCGGGUGCGGGGCAUUACCGCUCCGUCAGCGGCGGCGGCGGCGGCGGGCGUGCCCGCUGGUCCCGGCCCCGGCGCCGGCGUCGGGGCCGGACCCGGCUCCGAUCCGGCUGCAGCCCCGGUCGAAGAUGACGGCGGCGGUUGGGAAACCGUAAAGAGCAGGUCCAGGUCCCGGCUGUCGCCCCUCAACCAAACUGCCAGGAGGGCACCACUGCAGCGGAAGGGCUCGGCCGAGGCGGCGUGCGUGCGCCC